rnacentral:rRNA from 1 species
UACGGCGGGUGCAAGCGUUGUCCGGAAUCACUGGGCGUAAAGGGCGCGUAGGCGGCUCAUGAAGGCUGUGGUGAAAGUCCGGGGCUCAACCUGGGCACUGCAGUUGAAACUGGCAAGCUAGAGUAGGGUAGAGGGGUGUGGAAUUCCAGGUGUAGCGGUGAAAUGCGCAGAUAUCAGGAGGAACACCAAGUGCGAAGGCAGCUCGCUGGGACGUUACUGACGCUGAGACGCGAAAGCGUGGGGAGCAAACAGG